rnacentral:lncRNA from 1 species
AAUAAUGAACAAUAACUAGCAAACAACAAUAAAUGAAUUGGUAGAAUAUCAAGACUUUGACAAAUUCAGGGCCAUUGAAAAAGAAAAGAGGGAAACAAAAUAGUUAUGGCUCAACCAAACAGAGGAAGUCUUACAAGAUGGUCAAAUUCCAGAUUUGAUGCAUAGUGAGCAUGAAAUAGGAGAAAAAAAUUUGGAAAACAAGGAUGAAAGAGCCAAAGGCUCUGAUAAUGCAAAUGAUAGUCAAAUCCCAAUGGAAUGCACAAAGUCAGAAACAAAAAAGUCAUCAGAGGGAAAUAUCAAUACCAUAGAUCCAGGAGGAACUUUGCGCAUUGAUGAGAUUCAACUAUUGAGUGAAGCAGAAAAUUCAGAUGCAAAUCAAGAGAAAAGUACAGAUGAAAACCAAGACAAAUCAGUACAAGUCUAUGCAAUAAGGGAUGCAAAUCUAAACAAAGUUAAGGAAGCAGCAGUAGAAACUCAUAACACCGCGACCCAUGCGGAAAUAAGAGAUGUAGAUGUCGAGGAAGAAUCCACUGCUCAAAUUUUCCUUAAUGUUGCUAAGCAUGGGGAUCUGUCUCAAAGGCAUAUUGAACCUGUGAAAUUUCCAGCAAAAGAAAAAAAGAAACAGUCAAAGAGAAUUCAAAUGCACAGACCAAGGGAGUAAAAACAAGGAGCACUCUGUCCAAACACAAAAAUAUCUAAUGGAUGCCAGUAUAUGGAAUGUGAGAUCAGUAAAUACAAUGCAAGCAUUUCAAAGGCUGGUUACAAUGCAUCGGAAACAUCAAUUUCAAUUCAUAGGAAUCAUUGAACCUAUGCAGCAGUCUAACAAAAUGGAGAGAUAUAGAGCAAGAAUUGGUUGGCUCAAGCGGUGGUGAAUGUGUCAAACAGGAUUUGGGCAUUUAUUGAUGAAAUUUUUGCAAUUAAUAUUCUGUAUAAUAUGAAUCAACAAUUGACUUUAAAAUUGGUGCAUACUGAAACACAUGCAGAGCUCAUCCUCAUGGUAGUAUACGCUAAAUAUGAUCACAUUGAAAGAAUUGAGCUACGGGAUUCUCUAUAUUCAAUGGCAUCGCACAUUACUGUUCCAUGGCUGGUCAGAGGAGACUUUAAUUUGAUUUGGGAUGAGGAAGAGAAGUUUGGCCGCUUGCCAGUCUCGUUCCUCGAAGUAGAUGACUUCAGACAUUGCAUAAACUCAUGCUCUUUAAACGAUUUGGGGUUUGAAGGAAGCAUUUACACAUGGUGGAAUGGAAGAUCAAAAGAGGACUGUAUAUUCAAAAGACUAGAUAGAUGUCUAGGAAAUGAUGAACCGCAACAGACCUUUCCUGGAUUGGAGGUAAAUCAUUUGUCCAAAAUCGGCUCCGACCAUUGCCCCAUGCUGCUCAAAUGUGAUAUAAAAACUCUCCCAGUUAAGAAAUCUUUCAGAUUUCUUAAUUUCUGGACAAAGCAUGACUCAUUUAAAGAUGUAGUCAAGGAGAAUUGGAAUGCUGAUUUUAGUGCUAACCCUUUCACCAUUUUUAACUACAAGUUAAAGAAGCUUAAACAUGCACUUUCUACCUGGAGUAGAGCUACAUAUGGGGACAUUUUCCAGAAGAUUGAAAGUCUAGAGGAGGUGGUCCUGUUUCAUGAAAAACAGUUUGAAGUUAAUCCUACACAGAUAAACAGACAGAGAUUACGACUUAUCCAAGCUGAAUUUAUUAAAUAUCUUGCAAUAGAAGAACAAUUUUGGAGACAAAAAGCAGGCAUGUUAUGGUUCAAAGAUGGGGAUAGAAACACUAAAUUCUUCCAUGCACAAGUUAAUGGGAGAAGGAAGAGACUGAAAUUAUCAAGAACAAUUUUGGAGACAAAAAGCAGGCAUGUUAUGGUUCAAAGAUGGGGAUAGAAACACUAAAUUUUUCCAUGCUCAAGUUAAUGGGAGAAGGAAGAGAAACACUAAAUUUUUCCAUGCUCAAGUUAAUGGGAGAAGGAAGAGACUAAAAUUAUCAAGGAUCCAAAAUAGCCUUGGUAAUUGGAUUGAAGAAGAUCAUGUAAUAGCAUAAUGCAGUAAAAUUUUACAAGGAAGUAUUUUCUGAGAGCUCAAUUCCUAAUGCUUUUGAUAUUCUAAACCAAGUACCUUCAAUGGUAGAUAAUGAUCAACAUGAGAGAUUAAUGGCUUUACCUUCUAAUGAGGAAGUGAAGAAAGCAGUCAUGGGGCUCAAUGGGGAUUAGCAAGUGGUCCAGAUGGUUUCACAUGAGCCUUUUACCAAACGUGCUGGGAAAUCAUUGAAGAAGAUGUAGUCGUCAUGGUCAAGUCUUUUUUCUGCGGUCACCAACUGCCAAAGAAUGUGACGCACACAAACCUGGUUUUAUUACCUAAUGGCUAUACCUUCUAAUGAGGAAGUGAAGAAAGCAGUCAUGGGGCUCAAUGGGGACUCAGCAGGUCGUCCAGAUGGUUUCACAGGAGCCUUUUACCAAACAUGCUGGGAUAUCAUUGAAGAAGAUGUAGUCGACAUGGUCAAGUCUUUUUUCUGCGGUCAACAACUGCCUAAGAGUGUGACGCACACAAACCUGGUUAUAUUACCAAAGAAAAAAGAAGUGACUACCUUUGUAGACAUGAGGCCAAUCAAUCUUAGCAACUUUGUUAACAAGAUCUUCUCGUGGAUCAUUCAUGAAAGGUUGGUUGAAUUAUUACCAAGCUUAAUCUCAGAGGAGCAAGAUGGAUUUGUGAAGGGAAGAAAUAUCGUUGAGAAUGUUCUGCUAACUCAAGAAAUCAUUAAGGAUAUCAGGGCAAGAACUAAAGCAGGUCCAAAUGUUGUGAUAAAGCUAGACAUGACAAAAGCUUAUGAUAGGUUUCGUGGCUUUUCCUGACUAAAGUGCUAAGGAAGAUGGGAUUUCCUGAAGGUUUUAUUGGCUUGAUAUUUGAUUUGAUAGGGAACAAUUGGUACUCUAUUCUAAUAAAUGGUCAGCCAUAUGGUUUUUUCAAAUCUUCUAGGGGAGUUAAGCAAGGAGACCUGCUGUCACCUAUACUAUUCGCUAUAGCAGCAGAAGCACUGUCUCGAGGUUUGAAUUCACUGCAUACUAACCUGUACUUCCAUGGAUUUGGACUUCCAAAAUGGAGCCCAAGAAUAAACCAUCUGGCUUAUGCAGAUGAUACAAUCAUUUUCUGCUCAUCAGAUGAAACUUCAUUGAGACUUGUCAUGGAGGUUCUGCAAGCUUAUGAAUCAGCAUCUGGUCAACUGGUGAACAAAGUCAAAUCAGCCAUAUAUAUGCACCAUUUAUCGAAAAAUGAGGUGAUUAACAAAGUGGAAAGGAUUACUGGUAUAGAAAAACAGUGUUUCCGAAUGACCUAUCUUGGUUGUCCUAUAUUUUAUGCCAGAAGAAGGAGUGAUUACUACCAGGGAUUAAUUUCAAAGGUGAUGGACAAACUGUAGUCAUGGAAAGGCAAACUUCUUUCUGUAGGAGGCAGGGCCAUAUUGAUUGAAAAUGUUCUGCAAAGUAUCUCAAUUCAUAUGCUGUCAGCAGUUAAUCCUCCAAGCUAUGUCAUUUCAAAAAUACAUAGCAUUUUUGCAAAAUUUUUCUGGAGCAGUAAUGUGGGAGGAAGCUCAAGACAUUGGUCAUCUAAAAAUACAUAGCAUUUUUGAAAAAUAUUUCUAGAGCAGUAAUGUGGGAGGAAGCUCAAGACAUUGGUCAUCUUGGACUAACCUGUGUAUACCUUAUGAUGAAUGGGGAAUCGGCUUCAGAUCCCUUCAUGAUGUAUCCAAGGCACUAUUCUGCAAAUUGUGGUGGAACAUUUGGACAAAACCCAGUUUAUGGAGUGCAUUUAUGUGUCAAAAAUAUUGCAAGAAAUUAAAUCCUGUAAUCCUACCGUGGAAGGGUGGAUCCCACGCUUCGAAGAAAAUGCUUCAAUGCAGGGACUUGAUCGAGCAUCAAAUCUACUGGAAAUUGAGAAUGGGAUCAGCUCAAUUCUGGUUCGACAAAUGGACAGAAAUGGGAGCACUAUAUUUCCAAAUGCCAGAACAGUUUGCCAUUGAUGAAGACAUUCACAAUGUCAAUGAUAUGAUGGAAAAUGGUAUAUGGAACGUGGAAAAAUUAUUUCAGACUCUACCUGUAGAGUGGGUUAACCACAUUGUGCAGAAUAUUAGACCCCCAAAAGAAUGUGCAGAAUUAGAUACACCUUUCUGGAUGCUUGAAGAAAGGGGACAUUUCUCAGUAAAAACAACAUGGGAUUACUUGCGAAGAAGAGAUAUUCCAAGGAUAGCUUACAAGAUGAUAUGGGUCAAAGGCUCACCUUUCAAGAUAUCUUUCUUCUUGUGGAAUGUGUGGAAAGUAAAACUGCCACUUGAUGAUUUCUUGCGUAGAAUAGGAUACUCCAUCGCAUCUAAAUGUUGGUGUUGUGCCGAUCCUAAGGAGGAGUCUUUAGUUAAUUUAUUCUUCACUUCAAAUGCAGCUAAGAGUGUCUGGAGUUAUUUCCUAAAGAGAGCAGGAAUUCAAAUAGAAGGGUUGUGUUUACUUCAAGCAGUUACAAAAUGCUGGACGACUUCAGUUAUACCUAGAUUGAAGUCAGUCUUCCAAGCAUUAUCUGCAUGCAUUGUAUGGGAGUUGUGGAAGAGAAGAAAUCGUUUGAAAUAUGGAGAAGCAGUGUCAGUUAACAGAGUUAUGUACCAAGUUUCAUCAACACUGAACUCACUAGUUCAACUGAAAAAACCAUGAUUACAUGUUCCUCACAAGUGGCUUGACUUACUGGCAAUGAUGGAACAAUACACACCUCGACUGAAGUUCGAUAAAGUGCUAUGGGAAUUUCCCCCAAGUGGAUGGAUAAAAGUGAAUACGGAUGGAGCAUGCAGAGGGAAUCCAGGGAGAAGUUCAAUUGGAUUUUGUUUAAGAGAUGAAAUAGGUGACUUGAUAUAUGCAGAAGCAAGAGAAAUUAAGGAGGGCUCUAACAAUGAAGCUGAGGCAACGGCAAUAGUAGAGGCAAUGAGAAUGUGCAAAUCAAUGAACUUCAACAAUGUUUGGCUUGAGACAGAUUCAAUGAUGCUCCAAAUAAUAAUAGAUGGACAAUGGAAACC